ensembl:lncRNA novel transcript, antisense to C7orf33 and CNTNAP2
ACUUUGCAGAUGGACUUUCCACUCAGCCAGCGCCAUCUUGUCUGCGCCAUACUGUACACGUGGCUGGCACAAAGAGACGAUGGAGCUGCCGUUUUGAACAUGCCUAGUCCCAGUGUCUGAGGCGCAUGGCCCCGGGAGAGGAGGAGAAUGGGACGGUGGUUCAGAUCUGCUGAUGUAGCUGUGGUCAGUCACUGGGGAGAAUAGGCCUGUGGAUUUCUGCUCCUCUGAGAUGGAUCCAUCACUGACUACUGAACUUGUUUUCUCAUUGGCUCAACUUAAGAAGGUUCUAGAGUGAUGAUCUGGAGACUUUAAUAUGGGAUUUAUGAUGGCUAAAGAGCAUUACCUACCCAAGAGGAACCUUUAAUCCAGGGAGGAAGUUAUGAGUUUUUGGUUCAUUUUGUGGUCAACCUCAUUCCUUCUAGUUUUGUCUAUGGCCUAGGCGAGAGAAAAUAAUUGGAAAUGCUAUGAUGAAAAUAAUAGAACGAUUCCUCUUGUUGCUAUGGUGACAAGAAUAAAUUGAAUCCAUUGCUCUGAAAAA